CGGAAGAGUGGAAUGGAACUCUACGACCUCCUAGUUUCUAUUUAGCGAAUUAGCAAUAAAUGAAAUAAAUUGGAUAGAAAAUAAUAAUUGGUCUUCCUAGGCCAAUUAACCUAAACAUCUUAUUACAAAGAGUUCGUUCCACGUAAGAAAAUCCGAUACCAUACUCUAACCCAAAAAGCUCAGGUUUAUGGGUCUUCCCCUUACUUAUAUGGUGUUCAACCUUUCCACUUUUAUUCGAUGUGGGACUUUAUGUCACACUUGUAACCCAACACAUGCCAAGGUCAUCAGUUAGUAAGUCUAGAUUGUACUAACAAACAUGUAGCUACAAAGAAGAUUGAAACGAACCGUUUCACUUAUAAAAAAAAUAUUAAAAUAACAAAACUCACUCCCCCCCUCAGCUUAAAACUCCCGAGACCUUUCUCCAUCUCUCCUUUCCCAAAAAUUUAAUCUCUCAAUCUUUCACCCAUCCCCUUCCAUUUUUCCAAAAUUUUAAAGCUUCUUGCAUCCUCGGGUCUUUCCAAGCACAAGAAUGUGACUAGAGAAAAGGGGAUCUUGUGAAAAAUACGGUGAUUGACUUUCCCAGCAACAGUGGAAGACAUUGAUUGCGUUCUUUAGGUGAAUAGCUAAUUUACUCAGCGACGUUUUUAAAGUUCCUUUGGGAGAAGCAAAUAAAUUUCAGAAUAUAUAUCUUUGACUUCCUAGGAUUUGCUGAUGUACCCAAAAAUUUGAUUAUCUUUUGGUAGGUCUCUUUUGUGUCUGAUG